rnacentral:ncRNA from 1 species
AUUAAGUUUAAUUUUAGCUUAAAAUUUUAUUUUAUUGUUAUUUUACAUGUAAAAUUUAUUUAGAAAGUUUUAUUUUCAGUUUUUAAUAUUAAUUUAUUGUUAAUGUAGUUUUAGUAAUAAAUUUUAUUUCUAAUAAAAUUCGUGCCAGCAAUUGCGGUUAUACGAAUAGUUUAAUUAAAAUUUAUUAAAAAUUGGUUUAUUUAUUUUUUUUUAUAUGUUAUUAAUUUUUUAAAGUGAAAUAUUAAAUUUUAAUAUUAUUUAUAUGAGAUUUUAUGAUGCUAUUAGUUUUUACAUUAAACUAGGAUUAGAUACCCUAUUAUUAUAAAAGUAAAUUUGUUUAUUUAAUUAUUAUAAGUUAUGUUCUUUAAAAUUAAAAAAUUUGGCGGUAUUUUAGUCUAUUUAGAGGAACCUGUUCUGUAAUUGAUAAUCCACGAUUUAAUUUACUUUAAUUUUUAGCUUAUAUAUCGUUGUUAUUAGAGAAUUUUAUUAGAAUUAAUUUUCAAUUUUUUUUAUAAUAUUUUUUUUCAGAUCAAGGUGUAGUUUAUAUUUAAGUAGAAAUUGGUUACAAUAUUUUUAUUUUUGGUUUAGGAUUUUUGAUUUUUUAUUAAAUUGGAUUUAAAUGUAAUAGUUUUUAAUUAAUAAUUAUGAUUUUAGCUCUGUAAUAUGUACAUAUUGCCCGUCGCUUUCAUUAUUGAAAUAAGUCGUAACAAAGUAGAUGUACUGGAAAGUGUAUCUAGAAAGAC